AGAUCCCGGACGUCACGAGGAGUGCCGGACGUCACCUCCCUCCUCCUUCGACGGCGCCUGGUCCAGAUCGGGCUCAGGUCAUCGCCUGGUCCAGAUCGGGCUCAGGUCGUCUCCAAGCAGGGGUGAACAGCGGGAAGCGGUGGGGAGAAGCGAGCGGCAGCCGGCAGGGAGAGGCGGAGAGCCACGACGGGGUGGACAGCGGGAAGCGGUGGGAAGAAGCGAGCGGCAGUCGACAGGGAGAGCCACGACGAUGGCCGGCGUGAGCUGCCACUUCCUCCCCUCGUCGGCGCCGCGAGGCCGCUGAGCCCGCGCCGGAGCUUCCCGUCUGUGAGCGGUCGCUCCGCCCACCGGCCGUCCCCCGUCCGUGUGCUUCUUCUCGGGACGUCGACGCCACGGAGCUCGUCAAGCUCCCUCUCUGCUGCUGCAGGAGGAUUGGAUUGGAUUGGUUUCUACUUGCUCUAUUAUCUAUUUGAGAAUCUGAGAUGCGGCCCUCCAAAUCUUCGGCCCCAGAAGGAGGAUUUGAGAGUGGAGAAGGGUCACCUGAAUGUGAUUUGGAGGAAGGAGUUGUCCAGGAAUCAAAAUGUUAUUAUUUUACUAUUCUGCAGGGGAGAAUCUAAAGAUUAUUUGUUUCUUUUUAUGCCUGCAGAUCGUGUUUAGUGUUUGGGAUUCACACCCUGCAUUGAUAAGGUCUGAAUUUAACAUCCACUUUUAACACUGGGAUCCUCAAGUGUUUCAGUUCGUACUUUGCCGACGUACAAUCUAUUGGCCACAUUUUCUAGCACACUUAUUCCAACUGAAGUCAGCUCCUGCUUGCACUUCUCCACUGAGUGAAUGCUAAUAGUUCUAAAAAGAUAAACCACCCAUAGAAUUGGUUCUAAUUAGAUCCUCUGAAAGAUGCAAGCAGCUAGAGUACCUUAGUCCAUAGGAGUCCUGAACUGGUUCAGAAGUUCUUGAGUAAACUGGAUCAGUGAGAAUAUUAAUUGAGUCGCUGCUCAAGAAACAAAGUAGAAUAACGACAGCGUAGCUAAUACCAUUUGUCCCUGCAUGAUGUAUUUUGAUCUCAAAUGCAUUUGAAUGGCUUGAUUUUUGCAGAGAUCUUGUCACCUGCGCCCUUGUUUGGUCGUACAUAAAACUGUCAUCUUGCUUUAAAUUCAAGUGGUCAGGUCUUUGAUAGCACGCAUGGCUGAACCCACCUUUUGUUGAAUUUGGGAACCGUCUAAUAUAGCUAUUUUUUAAGAAGGAGCUUGAACAGAUCUCAGUAUAUGUUAAUUUUGUAGAACUAAAGGUUAGCACAGAACUAAAGGAGCCUGAGUGACUAGGUAAAUGUAUUGGCAAGAAUGUUAGACCAUAAAGAAGCUAUCAUAUCUCAUUUAAGUUGGGCUAGCCUCUAUUCCCAGCGAACUGAAGCAGCUAAGCUUGCAGGCAUGUGUACUGUAAACAGAACCAAGUUCUGCAUAUAUUGUAUUUGCAGAAAAUGUUUUUGGCCUGUACGUUCUAACAAAUUUGAGGUGAUAAAUUCUGAACACUAAAAGAAUUAGUUUUGUAGGACCAGUUUUCUUGUAUGACCUUGCACUACUGUAUUGAUUUUCUUGUACUUGCAUGGUCGGACUAAUAAUCAGCACAGUACAUUACUAAUUCAAUAGGACUAAUUUAUUUGAACUAAAGCCUUAGUAUGUAUGUUCAUAAUAUGUGCAGAUCACCACAUGCAGACUAUUCAUUCCUUGCCAAACUGCACAUGCUAGCUACUGUUUGAAGAUGACGUUGUAAAAAAUGCAUAAGCUGGGGAUGGCAUGGUGAUGCUGCUGGUCGAGAAGUACCAUCCCAGAAUAAAUUUAACAUCAACACGGUGAUUUGAGAAUGCAAACAAGCACAAUAGGAUCUUCCAUGUCAAUUGUUCCCUCCUUACCUGCCAAUGCUUCCUCCUGCCUUGCCAGCCACGCGUGUCCUCACCUUUGUUCAUCAAUUCGUGUGCAGGUAUGGAUCGGUGAUGUUUUUGACGCCCAUAGAGCCAUUACCUUGUGCAUGUGUAUUUUGUGUGCCAGUUUACCAGUUAGUGGGUGAUAAUGUCCGUAUGAAUGUUUCAUCGUUUAGCAACUGAUCAGCAACAGACAUCUCUUACUUUUGGAUUGAAGUGCAGAUCUUGCUAAAGAGUUGACCAUGGAGUCAUUUAUGUAUUCUUAUGCCCCAAUGCUUCAUUAAGUAUUCUUAUUAUGCAAUAUAAAAUUAUUUCUUACCGUCUUCUAUUGUUUCCUCUGUUUUUCUCAGUUAUUCAGAGAACACCACAUGUACAUGAAUUCUAGACUACUUUCCUAGAGGUAGUUGUUAGAAUCAUCUUCUUGAAUUUGCCUGCUUAGCAUCUAAUAUUUCACACUCGCCAAUUGUAAUAUCUCACGCUUGCCAAUUUUUAGAAUCAGGUUCUUGAGUUUGCUUGCUUAACCGUGUCCCUGUGCAAUUGCUCACCAACCUCACCAAUUGUGAGUUUGUCCCACAUAGUGGAGUUUCUGUGAGUUUUUGUAGUCUAUAAAUUCUUGGAAGUUCCCUUGUUGCUGCUAUAAUGUGGGUGUGUUCGGCUUCCUUCUUCAUUUAAGGUGAAUCCUUGCUUCCAGGUUGGCCUAUGAAAUGAUGUAGUUUCUGCUGGAAAAUAAGUUGUUAUGCAAUUAUAGUUAGGUUGCCAAUUUUCCUUCAUAACUGCAUUUAAUGGGUGGCUGUUAUGCUCACUUUGCUCAAAGAAAGGUUGUCUAGCCAUGCUACUUUGUGAUUUAAGAAAUAGGCUGACACCAAAUCAGUAAUCCCGGACUUCUGCUUUGUUGGCCGAAAUUUACUAAUUUUGUUUUUCUUGUUAUCUUUAGCCAUUCCAAAACAUUUAUCUGGUUCUGUAGAAUUACAGACCAUAGGAUUAUAGCUGGCCAUAUUUUUGAAUGCGUGAACCUCACAUAGAUAUCAUGCUAAUGUAGUUUGACGGAAGUUGUAAAACCAAUGGAUAGGCAUCGUCUUCUGCUAAGGUUCCUUUCACCGUUCUUUAGAACCCAACAAGCAUUCAUCAAAAAAUUAAAGAUCUUGGUUGGUGAUUCAUUUCAAUGGCCGGUAUAGUAAGGCUACAUCAAUUAUCAAAUUAUUUUUCAUUUCUUUUUGCCUGCCCUUGUUUCACAACCUAAUACUGAUUGAUCAGGUACAUUGCAAUGAGUGCUUACUUAUGUUUUGUCUCCUGUUAUUUUUUGAUUCCAGUCUUCAUACUUUCAGACACCUUUGAUAAUAUAAGAAGAAGAAAGUAUUCGCUCCAGACGAAGAUGUCUAGCUUGCUUGUGUGCUAUAACAUUAAUCAGUGCAUCGGGCCCAACGUUUUCUAUCAUUGGAACCUUGAUGAUUUAUCUCAUUUGAACAUAAUCUAACCCCUCUGAUUUUUGUCAGUACAUGAUUGUACACCUCCUAUGCCCGCUUAAUUGUGUGUUCAUUUUGUUAAUCAAGAAGCAUCUGAUUUUAUGGCUGGGUACGCUGAAAAUAUAUAAAACCUUUCUUCUUUUGGAUAAUUUGUUUUCCUUUGACCAAUCUUUGUUACUUGCCUACACAUCUGUGCAUAGCGUAAUGCUCCACCGCUUCGUGUGCUGCCUCGAGUCGCGCGGCCACUAAGCUCGCGCUGAGGUGGAGGCAGCUGCCACUCUCGACGCCCUCUGCUGCGCGCUCUCGCCGGCGGCGUUCACAAAGCCUUGUCACCACGCUGCAAGUGUUGCCCCCCUCCUCCCCAAGGGCAAGGUGAAGAAAGGUGCAUGUGUGGUUUUUCUGCAGCUUACAGCGAGGAUUGCUGUGUCCAACCUGCACAAUAAUGCCAAGAAGUCCUUCUUGGAGACGUAAGCUACGGCGCAUGUUUCUGCCAUGAUUUCCUUCGGUUGGUUUUCGUGGAUUUAGGUGUUAAAAAAUUAUGGGAUGUGGAUGCAGGAUUAAGGACAUGUACAUGCAAUACAACGAGAGAUCUGGGCUGCUUCUUUGUGGCUUCCAAACUUGAAAUUUUUGUUUGGAAGUUAGUUUAGUUUUUUGUUGUGGAUUCACAUCUUCUCACAUGUACCAUCCUCUUAGACCUUUAGAUUUCCAAAAAAACUAAAUGAAGAUAUGGUGGUAUGGUCUCAAUAGUACAACUUAAAGCCUUGCAUGCUUUAUAUUUUCUCUGAAA